UACAGAGGGUGCGAGCGUUAAUCGGAAUUACUGGGCGUAAAGGGUGCGUAGGUGGUUGAAUAAGUUAAUUGUGAAAGUCCUGAGCUUAACUUGGGGAUUGCAGUUAAUACUGUUUAACUAGAGUGUUGUAGAGGAAAGCGGAAUUUCCGGUGUAGCGGUGAAAUGCGUAGAUAUCGGAAGGAACAUCGAUGGCGAAGGCAGCUUUCUGGACAACAACUGACACUGAGGCACGAAAGCGUGGGGAGCAAACAGGAUUAGAUACCCUGGUAGUCCACGCUGUAAACGAUGAGAACUGGCUGUUCGGUGCGUGAGCAUUGAGUAGCGAAGCUAACGCGCUAAGUUCUCCGCCUGGGGAGUACGGCCGCAAGGUUAAA
rnacentral:rRNA from 1 species